rnacentral:rRNA from 1 species
UACGUAGGAGGCAAGCGUUGUCCGGAUUUAUUGGGUUUAAAGGGUGCGUAGGCGGCUUUAUAAGUCAGUGCUGAAAUAUCCCGGCUUAACCGGGAGGGUGGCAUUGAUACCGCAGAGCUUGAGUGAAGUCGAGGUAGGCGGAAUUGACGGUGUAGCGGUGAAAUGCUUAGAUAUCGUCAAGAACACCGAUAGUGAAGACAGCUUACUAGACUUCAACUGACGCUGAGGCACGAAAGUGUGGGGAUCAAACAGG